CUUCAACUGAUUGCCUGAUGCUUUUGAGCUUUUUAACCCUGAGCAUUGGCCAAAAUAGUUUAAAUAUGUUCAAGAAAAAGGGAAGGUUGUUUGCAAGGAAGAAAAUGAUUGUAUUUCUGCACUAUUUUGCAGGUGAGAACACUGUCACCUCUGGAGAGCAAGAAGACCCAGCUCGUCAUCAUUUCUAACCAUGUGGAUCCAAUUGAACUAGUCUCUGGUCCAUAGGCUGGCGCACAAAGACCUGACCAUCAGUGGCCUUGUACAGAAAAACCUAUCCGCGGUCACAGGUGAGGUGGCAUGGAGAUCCUCUUCUGUGAAACCGGCUCCAGUGUUUGUUUGGGAGGCGCUCUACAUGGAGAAGACUUCCCUUAGGAUAAAGCUUAUGGUUGGGGCUUG